AUUGAACGCUGGCGGCAGGCCUAACACAUGCAAGUCGAGCGGAGCGGCGGACGGGUGAGUAAUGUCUAGGAAUCUGCCUGGCUGUGGGGGAUAACGUCCGGAAACGGGCGCUAAUACCGCAUAUUUUCAGAUGAGGCUAGUUCGGAUUAGCUAGUUGGUGGGGUAAUGGCCUACCAAGGCGACGAUCCGUAACUGGUUUGUGAGUAGGAUCAGUCACACUGGAGCUGAGACACGGGCCGGACUCCUACGGGAGGAAGCAGUGGGGAAUAUUGGGCAAUAGGCGCAAGCCUGAACCAGCCAUGCCGCGUGUGUGAAGAAGGUCUUCGGAUUGUAAAGCACUUUAAGUUGGGAGGCGUUACCAACAGAAUAAGCACCGGCUAACUUCGUGCCAGCAGCCGCGGUAAUAC
rnacentral:rRNA from 1 species